rnacentral:rRNA from 1 species
CCUACGGGAGGCUGCAGUGAGGAAUAUUGGACAAUGGACGCAAGUCUGAACCAGCCAUGCCGCGUGCAGGAAGACGGCUCUAUGAGUUGUAAACUGCUUUUGUACGAGGGUAAACGCAGAUACGCGUAUCUGUCUGCAAGUAUAGUUCGAAUACGGAUCGGCUAACUCCGCGCCAGCAGCCGCGGUAAUACGGAGGAUUCAAGCGUUAUCCGGAUUUAUUGGGUUUAAAGGGUGCGUAGUCGGUCGGAUAAGUUAGAGGUGAAAUCCCGGGGCUCAACUUCGGAAUUGCCUCGGAUACUGUUCGGCUAGAGAGUAGGUGCGGUAGGCGGAAUGUAUGGUGUAGCGGUGAAAUGCUUAGAGAUCAUACAGAACACCGAUUGCGAAGGCAGCUUACCAAGCUACAUCUGACGUUGAGGCACGAAAGCGUGGGGAGCAAACAGGAUUAGAUACCCCUGUAGUC